UCUCUCUCUCUCUCUCUCUUGUCUGGUUGAAAGUUUGAGGAGAUUUCUUUCUUUUUUGGGCUUGUAGGAAUGUUACUUGUGGAGGUUCAGCUUACGAUUUGAUCUGGAUGGUUCGGUAAGAUCAGAAAAUCAGAAGGGCCACGAUCUGGAGAUGUUAGGUAUUGUACAGAUUGUUUCCUUGGUUGCGGAAGAUUGCAGGUACACGAAUAAAGGUCCAUUGGAAAAUAUUUGUUUCUUCUAUUUGUAUAUAGAUAUAAAGUGAAGAAUCCAUAUAUUGUGAAGAACAUUGGGUUUAUUGGAUUACUGUUCUUUCGGUACUAAAUGGCUCCUGCCGAAGGAAAGUACUGAUGAGUCUACUACCUAAAUUUAUCAAGUAUACUGCUUCAACGCCUGCGGUAUUUUAUCUAUGAAGUCAGUUACUCGGCGUUGCUUCAGGAGAUCAUUAGUCUGUGGGAUAUCAAUUGAACGUAAACUUGCUAUCGCUUCCUACAAUGCUGCCCACUUCGUCACACUUCGUAUCACAGGAGUUCUUUUCUCUGGUUUGGUUGUCAAAGUUUAUUCCAGAGCCAACCUUUGUGCCAGCCACUUAUCCAAGCAAGAAAAAAGUUGGAAUGAACAAUCUACAGGGACUGAUGAUGAUGGUUCGGGUAAAGAUAAGAUGCAAAAGAAUCGCCGGUGACAUUAUUAUUUGAACAAUUUCAUGCCAUACGAGGUUCGUUGAUAAAAUUAUGUGAAGUUUUCCUUCCUUGAAUCUACAAUCAUUCGACUUCAUACUUACUGUGAGCUGCAGGAAUGAGCUUGCACAAUUUUCCCAAACGAAUGUCCAUAUUUCUUUGGUCUGUGAAGGUAAUACCUUUGUGUAUUUAUGUUAAUAUAUUGGCAUAAUUGAUGUUCUAAAGAGGGGUUAGGAUUUAGGAAUGCAGCUUGCAUUUGUUCUAAUAGAGGGCCUAGCUUGACUGUUGCAAUUUUUGAAGAGCUAAUUUACCAUGUCUUCUUAUUUAGCUUGCUCUAAUUAUAUUGGUAUAAUGUAAAAAUACAUGGCGUUCCCGUGGGAAUUAACUUGCCUUUUUCUAUCGCCUUACAUAACAUACCUGAAGUAAAGAAAUCAAGCCAUUAGCCUUCUGGUUAAGUAACCUGACUAUUCUUAUCUGAAGGCUCUCCAUUGUCUGUGGGUUAUUUCUACAGCACAAGUCCAUCUUGGCAUGACAGGGAGGGGUCUAGAUAGAAGAAGGGAAGGCAUGAGUACGAUUAGAGGAGGAGGUCGCACCACAUGUCAGCGCUGAAGAAGUUGACUUUGUUACUUUGUGGGAUCCUGCGGCAAACCAAUCCAUGCACGCUACACAGCUGAAAAAUCAAUUGGCUGCAAACUAAGUUUCUCUUUGGUGUUUAAGAAGCAAACUCUUAGAAAUAGCUCAGUGGACAAGAGCUAUAUCAAAGUUAGCAGAGGCAUCCAUAUAUUGCCAGUUUUGUUUUUGUUCUACACUGUCAUUUGUGUAUUGUGGAAAUAAGGAGUUGUGUUUUCUCUA